rnacentral:rRNA from 1 species
AUGGCGGCGGCGGCGGCGGCGGCGGAGCAGGACUACUGGGGCCUGUUCCGGGAGGAGACGGGCUGGUACAACGAGAUCUUCCUCAGCGCGGUCGUGCCGGGCGGCGGCGGCUGGUGGCGGGCGCUGCCGCACCCGCUCCGCUCCUGGCUGCGCAACUGCAUCGGCGGCUACCUCCUCUACUUCGCCACCGGCUUCCUCUGGUGCUUCGUCAUCUACUACUGGAAGCGCAACGCCUACAUCCCCAAAGAUGCUGUCCCUACAGUAGAAGCUAUGAAGAAGCAAAUAAUUGUUGCAUCAAAGGCUAUGCCGUUCUACUGUGCUCUUCCGUCCGUAUCUGAGCACAUGAUUGAGAGUGGAUGGACACGGUGUUUUUUUCAUAUCAGUGAAGUUGGUUGGCCUAUGUACAUUGUCUAUGUGUCUCUAUAUCUCAUCUUUGUGGAGUUCGGAAUUUACUGGAUGCACAGAGAGUUGCAUGACAUAAAGCCACUAUACAAGCACCUACAUGCAACCCACCACAUUUACAACAAGGAGAAUACCCUAUCACCAUUUGCUGGACUAGCAUUCCAUCCAUUGGACGGGAUCCUGCAAGCCAUAUCGCACGUGAUUGCUCUGUUCCUUCUCCCUAUGCACUUCAGGACGCACAUUGCUCUGUUAUUCAUAGAGGCGGUGUGGACGGCCAACAUCCAUGACUGCAUCCACGGCAAGAUCUGGCCGGUGAUGGGCGCCGGCUACCACACCAUCCACCACACGACGUACCGGCACAACUACGGCCACUACACCGUGUGGAUGGACUGGCUGUUUGGCACCCUCCGCGAGCCGGAGGAUCUCCUCAAGAAGGACUGA